UGGGGAAUAUUGCACAAUGGGCGCAAGCCUGAUGCAGCGACGCCGCGUGGGGGAUGACGGCCUUCGGGUUGUAAACCUCUUUCACCAUCGACGAAGCCGCUCUUUGUGGGGUGGUGACGGUAGGUGGAGAAGAAGCACCGGCCAACUACGUGCCAGCAGCCGCGGUAAUACGUAGGGUGCGAGCGUUGUCCGGAAUUACUGGGCGUAAAGAGCUCGUAGGUGGUUUGUCGCGUUGUUCGUGAAAUGCCACAGCUUAACUGUGGGCGUGCGGGCGAUACGGGCAGACUGGAGUACUGCAGGGGAGACUGGAAUUCCUGGUGUAGCGGUGGAAUGCGCAGAUAUCAGGAGGAACACCGGUGGCGAAGGCGGGUCUCUGGGCAGUAACUGACGCUGAGGAGCGAAAGCGUGGGGAGCGAACAG
rnacentral:rRNA from 1 species